UACAGAGGUCUCAAGCGUUGCUCGGAAUCACUGGGCGUAAAGGGCGCGUAGGCGGGAUGGCAAGUCAGUCGUGAAAUCUCUCGGCUCAACCGAGAAACGUCGGCUGAUACUGCCGUUCUUGAGGGAUGCAGAGGAGACUGGAAUUCCCGGUGUAGCGGUGAAAUGUGUAGAGAUCGGGAGGAACACCGGUGGCGAAGGCGGGUCUCUGGGCAUUUCCUGACGCUGAGGCGCGAAAGCGUGGGGAGCAAACGGG
rnacentral:rRNA from 1 species